UGGUUCUGUCAGGCUGAGAGAAAUAAAAUAAACCAAUUAGAAAUUAAGCACCCCAAGGACACCUACCUAAGGUACAUAUCUCAACAACAUUCAUAUGAUCUCAAAGUAGAAAAGAACGCAAGAAAACAAAUCCGCCAAGACAAACCUCUGCACUAAAAGCGUGUUUUGAGAAAAUCUUAGGCCGAAUCAUCAGCUGCCUUGGGUUCUUCUUUCGGCUUCAGAGCGG
rnacentral:lncRNA from 1 species